rnacentral:rRNA from 1 species
UACGUAGGGUCCGAGCGUUGUCCGGAAUACUGGGCGUAAAGCGUGCGCAGGCGGCUUCUUAGGCAUGACGUGAAAGCCCCGGGCUCAACCCCGGGAGGGUCGUCGUGAACCGGGGGGCUUGAGGCCGGUAGAGGUGGGUGGAACUCCUGGUGGAGUGGUGAAAUGCGUAGAGAUCAGGAAGAACACCCGUGGCGAAGGCGGCC